CGUAGGGUCCGAGCGUUGUCCGGAAUUAUUGGGGCGUAAAGGGCUCGUAGGCGGUUUGUCGCGUCGGGAGUGAAAACACGGGGCUUAACCCCGUGCCUGCUUCCGAUACGGGCAGACUAGAGGUAUGCAGGGGGAGAACGGAAUUCCUGGUGUAGCGGUGAAAUGCGCAGAUAUCAGGAGGAACACCGGUGGCGAAGGCGGUUCUCUGGGCAUUACCUGACGCUGAGGAGCGAAAGUGUGGGGAGCGAACAGGAUU
rnacentral:rRNA from 1 species